AUUGAACGUUGGCGGAAUGCUUUACACAUGCAAGUCGAACGGCAGCACGGGGCAACCUGGUGGCGAGUGGCGAACGGGUGAGUAAUACAUCGGAACGUGCCCAAUCGUGGGGGAUAACGUAGCGAAAGUUACGCUAAUACCGCAUACGAUCUACGGAUGAAAGCGGGGGAUCGCAAGACCUCGCGCGAAUGGAGCGGCCGAUGUCAGACUAGGUAGUUGGUGGGGUAAAGGCUCACCAAGCCAACGAUCUGUAGCUGGUCUGAGAGGACGACCAGCCACACUGGGACUGAGACACGGCCCAGACUCCUACGGGAGGCAGCAGUGGGGAAUUUUGGACAAUGGGGGCAACCCUGAUCCAGCCAUGCCGCGUGAGUGAAGAAGGCCUUCGGGUUGUAAAGCUCUUUUGGUCGGGAAGAAUGUGCCCUGCUUAAUACGCGGGGUAUUUGACGGUACCGGCAGAAUAAGCACCGGCUAACUACGUGCCAGCCGCCGCAGUAAGAC
rnacentral:rRNA from 1 species